UCUCCGUUGGUGAACCAGCGGAGGGAUCAUUAUCGAGUUUAUAACUCCCAAACCCUAUGUGAACUUACCACUUGUUGCUUCGGCGCGCGCUUCGGCGCCGCCGAGGACACUUAAGCUCUUUGUUUUUAUAAGCAUUUCUGAGUGGCCGAAAGGCAAAAUACAAAUGAAUCAAAACUUUCAACAACGGAUCUCUUGGUUCUG
rnacentral:misc_RNA from 1 species